GGGAAAGUGGCUCAGUGGUAGAGCACUUGCCUUCCAUGCAUGAGGCCUGGGUUCAAUUCCUCAGCACCA
rnacentral:tRNA from 1 species